rnacentral:lncRNA from 1 species
ACAAACUCCAGCAAAGCAACAUCAAAAUAACUCAUGUACAAAUAUAAAACAAAUGCUAGCAUCACUAGAGAACAAAGUAUCAUUCAGAACAACAAUAUGAUAAAUAACUAAAAAGAAGCACAGUUAUUUAUAAAUAAUGUUCAAGGGAGUAAACACCAGAAUACCCAUGGUUUUCGAUAUCACAGUAGUGGUGACGACAUAGCGGCGUUGCUUUAAUGACAUUCGCCAAAGCAACGCCGGAUAAUCAAAAUCUAGUCAGAUCUGUGUGAAUCAAAUAGGUAACAUGUUAAACUGAUUCAUUAGAGGAGAGAAUUCAAAGAUGUAGUGACCAUCAUUCCUAAACAAAUAACAAAAUAAAGGGUCAAGGAGAGAACGAGCAGUGGCGGUGUAGCUGGAGGCUCGCUGGCCACUACCUUCGGUGAGGCAGCGGGAGCGGCGAAAAAAGGAAAAUGGUGAAAGGGGAAGCGUUGGCUGGUGUGUUGUCGCCGGCCGUUUGGUGUUCAACUCCAAUAGUGCUAGUAAUAGAUAGAGGAGGAUGGAAAUUGGUGGUAGUGUGGUACUCGCCGACCAUUCGGUGGUUAAAUCCGGUGGUCGGUGGUAAGGGUAGAGAGAAAAGAAAGUUUGAUUUUGGGAGAGAGAGAAAAAAUUAGAUUGUGAAAUGUGGGUGUAUAUUUUAUUAUUUGUGUGUGGUUUUAGGUAACUGAUUUUGAGUAUAUGUGUGUGUAUUUGUGGGUAGUCCAUCAGAGCACUGGUGGUGGAGAGGCGGCAGUAAGAGCAGCCAUGGAAGUUGAAUAGUGGAAGAGAGAGGAAAAGAUGUGUAUGAAUGAAAAGAGAAAAAAAUUAGAUUUUGUAUAUGUAUUUUGUUUAUGUGAAGAAAUACACCCCACCCACUUAUAUUUAUAAUAAAAAUAAGUAUCUUCUAUUAUCCAAAAAAUAAAAGAAUGUCCCCUAUUUUUAUUAGCACACCUUUUGUCCUUAGGAUAUUGAUCAAAAAAUUUUUAUCCUUUUGACCAACGGAUAAGGUUAUUAUCCAAAGUGUAGUAUCAUUGAAUUGUUAUUGUCAGAUAUGACAAGUCAUUAUGUGUAGUCAUUGUCAGAUGUGACAAGAUAUUAUUGUGUGAUCAUUGACGGAUGUGACAAGUCAUUAUGUGUAGUCAUUGUCAGAUGUGACAAGAUAUUAUUGUGUGGUCAUUGACGGAUGUGACAGACAUUAAAUUAUUAUAUUGUGUAAAAAUAAUUGAUCCGACUUAGCAUUUGCGGACUAUAAAAAAUGUACAAAAUGCAGGUAUUAAUUUGUGAUUAUGAAAAAAUGUAAAGAAUGUUGAAAAUAUUAAAAAAUAUAAUUAAUUUGAAAAUGUAAUUAAAAUGUGAUGUCAUGUCAUGUAUGUGUGCGGAUGAUUCUGAAAGUGUUAAAAUGAUAAUGAAUUGAUAAAAAAAGUCUAACAUACAGAUAAUUAUUAAUAAAUUAUGAUAAUUAAAAAAUAUGACAAAAUUCUAAAGUGAGGAUGAUUAAUAAUUGUAAAAAAUAUGUGAAAAUUGUGUUCUGUGCCCUUUAACGAUCAGGAUGCCUAAAGACAUUAAUUUUGAGUACGGAGAACAAAAAUUGAGUGUUAACAGUUGCCCCUUUAUAUUUGAGGACGAUGUAGAAGUCUUCACAUGACAAUGUUGACGUGUAGCCAAUUUUGCUCGAUAAAAAAAUAAUUUUGAUGAAAAUUCGACCGAACUCUAAUUGAGAGUUGCCUACAUACCUCAAGUUGCAUAAGGAACAGGUCAGGUGUAGUUCAAAAGAAUAGGGGAAUUUCCUCUUGCUUUGUUAUAAAAGGCAAAUGAUCAUUCGAAAUGAUUAUAAAGAAGAGGAUUGUUUGAGAACGGAAGUGCUUACAUAUUCUCGAUGCUCCUUCUGAAAUUGCCCCAGUAUCGAGCUGUGAGAUGCUGGGGAUUCAAGAUUAUGUACUUGCUGGGGAGAAAGAAUGAUUAGAUGAUUGUGAUGACCAAACUCUGCAUAGAUCGUUCUACAUAUCUCGAGUGUCGCGAGAAUCAAGUCAAUGUAGUUCGAAAUGAGAAAAUAGGGAAAAAAAAUUUAGGCGAUGGUCAAAAUUUGCCCCAUUGUAUAAUUUAUGGAUAGCAUUUGGCUUUUUGAAUGAAAAUUGAAAAAAUGUUUUGUUGUUUUGAAUUGUAUUUUUGAUUGAAAAGAUGCAUGAUGUCUUCAAUUGUCUACGGAGACUUAAGGAUGAAUGACGCCUCCGAUUGUUUAUGGAAACUUAUGUGAUGUGUGAAAGAUAUCUUCGAUUGUUAACAAUGACUUGAUGCAUGACAUCUCCAAUUGUCGAUGGAGACUGAUAUUGAUUGUCGUCUUCGAUUGUCUAUGGAGACUGAUGUUGAAUGAUGAUGUCUUCAAUUGUCUACGAAGACUAAUGACAUCUCCAAUUAUCUAUGGAGACUGGUGUGGAUUGUCGUCUUUGAUUGUCUAUGGAGACUGAUAUGAUGAAUGAUGUUGUCUUCGAUUGUAUACUAAGACUUGAUGCAUGACUUCUCCAAUUGUCUAUAUAGGCUGGUGUGGAUUGUCGUCUCCGAUUGUCUAUGGAAACUAAUGUUGAAUAAUGAUGUCUUCGAUUGUAUGGGAAUACUUGAUGACAUUUCCAAUUAUCUCUGGAGACUGAUGUCAUUAACUAGUAAAGUGAUUGAAUUCUAUGGUCUCUCGAUUAGUAGAACAGCUGGAAGGUAGUAGUCUCUCGACUGUCGUGGCUAUGAAAAUGUAAGAGCCUCUCGACUGGCGGGGAUAUUGAAAGUUAAUAUCCUAUCAACUAGCGGGGCUAAGAAAUGUAUUAUCUCUCGACUUGUGGAGCAUUAGAAAGGUAAUAGCCUCUCGAAUAGAGGAGCUAUGAAAAUGUAAAAGCCUCUCGACUGGCGGGGCUUUGAAAGGUAAUAGCCUCUCAACUGGCGGAGCUUUGAAACGUAAUAGCCUCUUGACUGGCGAGGCUAUGAAAAUGUAAAAGCCUCUCGGUUGGCAGGGCUUUGAAAGGUAAUAGCCUCUCGACUGGCGAGGCUAUGAAAAAAAAGCUAUCGACUGAUGGAGUUACUGAAAGGUAAUAUUCUCUUGACCAAGAUCUUACCUUUCUCAAUAAAUUCUUGAAUCUUGUACCUCAAUCCUGAACAUUCCUCAGUAUCAUGUCCUUGGAUAUAUAAAUUAUAUGCACACCUUUUGAACAAGUCAAAAUUUGAUGGUGGGUACUUAGGGAUCAAACCUUUUCUUGGUUUCAAAAUUCCUUGAGCAAAAAACUUUGGAAUAUGCUAAUCAAAGGUUUAGUUAAAGGGGUAAAAGUAUGAGAUUUUAGUUUCUUUGGUUGAUGAGAAUUAGAUAUCACUAGAUAAGUAUGUUGUUGGGGAUCACGCUGGUUAAAAUUUUGAUAUUGAAAAGCUUGUGGGUUAUAUGGGUCAAAAACAGCAUAAGUAGGUUUGGUAUUUGGACAUUGUGGUUCUUGAGAUGGAAGGGUUGAGAUAUCUUCUUCUAUUUCUUCUUAUGGUAAGGGUUUUUGUGCUUGAAGGGUAGCUUGUAUUGCAAAAACAUCAAUAACCUUUCCUAUUCAAAUGGGAUAUUUUAAUCUCUUCCUAAUUAAAAUCAGCUCGUCGAACCCUUGGACACAUGAGCAACAUAACUUUUGGUAGUAGAUACCAUCUAGAAACCUUAUGAAAUCUUGAACCAACUCUUUCUUGGCAUAGGAGGACGUAUCUUAGAAACUUCCAAUCUCCAUCGUGUCAUAUAAUCCUUAAAAGAUUCAUGAGUCAUUCUCCUUAUUUAUAACAAGUCCAGCAUUGCUGGAUUGGCCUUGAUAUUAAACUUAUAUUGGCACACAAAGUCUUGAGCCAUGCUCUCCCACUAUAUCAAAGUAUUGUGUGACAUACUAAGUAAUUGUUAUUCCUGAUAGGAUUUGAAUGAACAAUCUCAUCAAGAGAGCUUCAUUGUCUCUUAUGCCAACUAAUGUGCUACAUUAGUCCUUCAGGUGCGAGAUUGGGUCUCCAUGCCCAUCAAACACAUUGAAUUCUUGAAUUUUAUAUCCUAGAGGCAAAUCAAUCGUUGGAUGCAGGCACAACUUCUUAUAUCUCAAAUAAUAAAUGCCCUUGGGGAGUAGACACACAUCCAACCUCUUUUCCAAGUCAAGAAACAUUUAUGUUACCAUGUUUCGCAAAGUACCAAGGAAAUAACUAAGGAGAUGUGAGUAAGAAGGUAUCUUAUGCUGGGGAAGAAGAAAUUUGUUAGAAGAAGAAUCAAGAUGGUUAGGCAUAUUUGUCAAAUUGCAGACCUUUAGCUGAUUCGAUAUUCAAAUGUAAGACAACCUUUAAACAAAAUAAACAAGCUAACGAAAGUUACCACAUAGCACAUAUAAUUUUAACACAUAAUAAAUAUAAAAACAAAAGGCAUUCUAGAAUGAAGACUAGAACUUAAUAAGUGAUCUAGGUGUAAAGAUUUGAGCUCCUAACGCAUAAAAUAUGAUAGUAAUAGAACAUGAUGUCAUUUUACAAUUGUGAUUACAAAGAAGAUAAGAAAGAUAGGAAAUGAACAAGGUCAACUUUCAUUGAACAUCAGAUUUGUUGAUCAUACAUGACAUUGUUAUUAUCUAACUCCAUGUAAAAAAAUAACGAAAUAGGGAAAAGGAAGAUUUUAUUAUGAUGAGACCAAACUCAACAAAUAAGCACCUAUGUAUCUCUCAUACAGGGGAAUCAGGUCGACCGUAGUUCACAUUACAUAAGCAAGGAAAACAAAAAAGGAAAUUGAAAAUUGUAAAACUUGAAUGAAUUUCAAAUGUUUGGGAGUCUGGAGUAGAGAAUCAAUAUGAUAUCUUCUUCACUAUUGUUAACCAGUGCAAGUCAAUCUUAGGAAAUCAAUCUGCAUUAGAAUUUGACCCCAUCACAUUUAUCACCUGGGUAUCAAUCAUAUUUUGGAUCAUGCUCUUUAAGGAAAAACAUGCCUUAGUAGGAUACCCUUUCAUCCCAGAAUGGUAGGCAUAAAUUUGGUCAGGGCAAUACCGCCUAGACUUAGUGUCAGCCGGUACAACAGCAAUGGGUGUGAUGUAGCCCAUAUUCUUGAGUCCUUCAUACAACUGUUGUACGGUUUCACCUAGAAGAGUGUACUAUUUUGGUGGAUCUUUCUGAAGCUUAUGUUGAGGUUUGGUGGAUAAUUUUGAUUGUUGAUUUUUUGGUGAGUUUUGGAAAUACAUUGGAAGGUAGUUUGAUGUUGGAACAACAAAUGAAGGUGAGUACCAAACAGUUUGUGGAGGAUGUUUUGUGAAGGACUGGGGAUAAUAGGCUUAGACAUAUUGGAAUGAUUUUCUGGAGUUGGGUACCAUAUCAAUUGAGGUUGGGGUAUGCUUACUUCAGGCUUUAGAGGUUUUGAUAUCUCAUCGAUGGUUGUCUUUCCCCUAUUCAAAUUGGUCUCAAUUUUGAGCUUCCUCUUUAUCUUAUUAUUGAACCUCCUAAGAAAAUUAGUUGUUAAAUCGUCCCAAGAGAUCCACUUGCUAGUAUCAUUUCAGCAUACCACAUCAAUGUUGGACCCUUAAAUGAACUAACAAAGAGUUUCGUCUUAAGGUUAUCACUUUGCCCUAUAACCGAUAGCUCGUUAAGGUACUCCUUCAAAUUGGAAUGUGGGUUUCCAGACCCAUCAUAUAAUGGAAAGUUCAAGUCCUCAAUUUUAUCCUUGUCUCCUUCCUUAGCUUUGGGUGACUUAUUCAUCUCAGGCUGUUGAGAUGACCCUGCCUUAUGGUUAAGAAUUUGUCCUCCUAUUUCCUUCUCCUUGACCAUAGUUGUCGACCCAUUGAGUACUUUCAAUAGUGCAACUGAAUACCAACUUUAAGACACUCGUCGAUAUAGAAGAUGACAUAGUAUAGGAGGGAGCUAUGAAGUUAGUUUCAAAUAAUGACUCUGGAAAAUGUAGUGGCAUCUCAACUAAACCUCGGAGAUAAGUCAUUAUUCCCCUAAUUCUCUCUAUUCUUCUUUCCAUCCAUAUGAUACUCGAAAUAACUUUGUUUUGAUGCAGCCUCGAACUUUCAUGCCCAGCUUUGCUAUUGACAAGAUUGAUAAACAUUGCUUGACUAGCCAUUUCUGAUGCUUAACUUUAGUCAACCUUAGAAGACAGGACUUACGAUUAUAAACAAAGAGUACACACCAGAGUCUAGAGUGAAUAUUCUACUCAUUAGAAAAUAAUGAGUUAUACUUAUCCGAAGUGAAUAGAAGUUAUAAGAGCUCUAUGUAACUUAGAGGUUGUGAAAUUUAGAGUACGACAUGAGUAUGAUGAUAUUAAUGUCCAAGAAUCAUGGUAGGACAAUAGUAUAUAAAUGUUAGAAGCAUUAGGAAGAGGAUAUCCUAACAUGAUAAAUUGCACUAACAGAUUAUGAAUGAGGCUGAAACUCUUUAUCAAAGCAAGAGUUGAGCAUAGGGAUGAUUAAUAUACUAAUGGAUGAGUUAGGCUGAUAGAUUGAAGGGAAGCUUUUGAAUAGGCCCUAAGAGUGAAUUGUAAGGCCCUAACAUGACAAGAAUAUUAAGAGUAAAGAGUUCUAAGGUGAGGAACACUAAAAGUAAGGAGUGACUAAGACAAGAGCGAAAACAAAAGAUAGGUAAGAUAUCAAAACAUACGUAGAAAUGAAACAUAUAACAAAUAAUAUUAUGCGUCCUUAUGGGGUAUGAACCCCUUUAGACUUUGAAUGAGACUAACAUUCAACGUACCAAGGGUUCCAAGGCAUCCUAGGUUGAAUGGGAUGCAUAUUCCUUAGUAAAAGAAAUAUGUAGCCAGGAUCUAAAAAACAAGAGUGGGUUUAUGACAUGGUUCCCUCGAGUAGACAACUCGAGAGUGGGAAAGCUUGUGACUGUCGAUGCACUGCUGAUCGACCGAUCCACAAGGCAUUUUCCAGUGGGUAUUUUAGAAAAUAACAUCCGUACAACCACACAAUCUUUCGUAAAAGAAAAAAGAGAUUUCAACUGGAGGAAAGUAUUAACGGAAUACCAGUUAUAUAAAGCAGUAACGCAUAGCACAUAGAAAAAAGAACAUGCUAAGCAAUAUACACAUAAAUAAACAUGAUAACACAUAGGCAACAAAAAAGGAAAAAGGGAAAGGGAUAGACAUGGAGACAUAUGAAAAACACAUAAAAAGAGAAAAGGAGAAAGGACAAAUAAAUCAUGAUAUAAAUGAAUAAUAAAAGUAUAACAUGUAGAAAAUAAAUCAUGAUAUAAAUGAACAAUAAAAGUAGGACAUGUAGAAAAUAAAUCAUGAUCUCAAAAACAAACAUUAUACACAAACAUCAAAACAAAUAGAGAGAAUCCCACAUAAAGCACAAAUUCAUAAUGGUAAGAACCUAAGUAUUUUCAGCAAAGUUGUCAUUCUGUCGCGCCCCAUUUUUCUUGUGAAAACCAAAAUUAGACAUGACUACUCUUUUUGGGAUUAUUUAAAGAGUGUGAUGAGUCGCCACCUAACGUAUUAGGGUGCGUUAGGGCAUUGGUCUAGGCUAACUACGAACCUAUUUUUGUAAUUUAGUCUUAGUUCAUCAAAAAUUUGGGUAAGGGUUCAAAUUACCUCGAAAGGAAGGUGUUAGGCAUCUUUCGAGGUCCACAAAGGUGGUUCCCAGCCAAAUUCGUACUUUACAUGGGGAUUCUAUGUGAUCAAAUAAAAGUCAUUAUUUCAUUAAUAACUUAAUAUUAACUAAGUGAUAAAGUAAUUAAUGAACAAACAUGUUAUUUGGUUAUUCCUAUUUGAUAAUUACCUAAGAGGUAAACAACACAAGAAUUAAUAAAGGAAUAAUAAAAGCGAUAAUGACACAAAUUAUAGCAGAUGGGACUGAUUAAAUAAACCAACUACCCCAAAAUAGAUAAGCAGAUAAAAAUAAAAGAAUAAAAUCAAAAAGUCGAACCAAGGAAAUAUUUUUGAUUUCAUUCGGAUCAGAACCCCAACUUGUUUAAUCAUUAUCCGACCCAUUGACCGAAUUCUUAGACAAGUGACAAUGUCAUAAGUCGUGUAAUAUAUGUUGGAUAUCAUCACUUUCGAAUGACUACCCUCCCUCACCUAGGCUGGUUGUCAAACUUAAAAGCGUUCUAAAAAGAAAGGAUAAAACUAAUGCCUCUAGAAUGCCUAUCAUCCCACUUAUCGCCCAAGAGGCAUUGGGCUUUGCUAAUAUAGAUAACCAAAGCUAUGUUUGCUAGUUUGACCCAAAGCGCGUUAAACAUGUUGGACAACAAGUAGCACAUAAUUAUCUCAAAUGAGCCUCUUGAUUAAUUAAGAGUUAGUUAAUGUGACUAGCAUGCAAGAGAAGCAAUUAUUUAUUUUUUGAUUAAAUCUAUAGACAUGAUAUCUAAGUGUCACGUAAUUAUUAUCGACGAAGGAUAAUUGUAAAUCAUUUUUAAAACAAUGUUGUAAAUUUAUUAAGAAUAAAAAUGGGUAAGUCAAAGUAAAGUAAAUGUGUUGGGAAGUGAUACCGGUCAAUUAAUAAGCCAAAUAUGUUGUCAAUUAAUGAAAAAUACUGGAAAGUAUGCUAGGCAACAUGUUCACUUGAUGAAACUAAAUAACAUGUAGGAAUUAAAUUAGUAAAAACACUGCUGAAAAUUCAUUUCAACAUACAGAAGAUUCAUUUUUGUAUCUUUAAUAUCCUGAAAAUCAAUUUGAUGAACUGAAAAUUAACUCUAUUGUGUUGAAAGUUAAUUUUUUUUAAGUGUUGGAAGAGUAGAUUAAUAUGCUGAAAUGAUGUAAAAGGCUGAGCAUUAUUUUAUUUUUUUGAUAAAAAUAACAAUUUUGUAUGCUGGAAAUCAGUUUUAUAAGUGAAAAAUUAACUAAAACUGCUGAAUAUUACUUUUAAAUGCUGCUGAAAAAUGUUUUAAAUGUUGGAAAGUGACUUAAUAGGUUGAAACUAUAUUUUAAAUGCUGAAAAUUUUAUCAAUAUGCUGAAAAUAAAUAGAAACAUGCAGAAAAACAAAUAUAAAUAUUGAAAAUUAAUUUGACAUGUUAUAGGUUAAAUUAAUAUGCCCAAAAUAAUUUUUUUUUCAUGUCAAAAGUCUACUAACGGCCUUAAAGACAUGAUUUCUAAGUGGUAAAACAAGUUUAUAUUAAUCCUAUGAAUUUGCCUAAGUGAUUUGCGUAAGCAAACAAAAGCACAUAAAUACAUAAACCUAAGUUAUGUUUGCCUAUGUGAUUCAUAGAGCACAUAAAUCUCCGUCCCCAAGCAGUCCCUAAUUUAUUAUUAUUAGGGUAGAGUUGUACAAUAAUUACUACAGACCAAUAAUAAAUGAAAGAAAAAACACUAAGAAGAGCUAGAUUGCAUAGCCCUCAGCGACUCUCAAGUCCAUGGCAAAUCUGUCUCAUCUAACCAUUAGUCUUUAAUCUAUGAACACAAAAAAAAGAACCAAAAUACACUUUGAAUCCGAAAUAUACCUUUGGCAAUGCAUAACCAAACCCUUGGCUCUAUCGAGAUCCUAAGGAUCUCUGGAAUCCCAGGCAGGCUCACACCGAAGGAGUUAUGUGAUGCGCAAAGAUUAUUUCAGAUUCAUAAAUAAAUAUUCUAGUGGGGAACAACAUUUAACAGCAAGAGAAAGUAUGUCAUAUUGACAAAAGCAAAUAGCAUGAGCAUCCUAGUAAGUCACGAAAUAAAUGCACAAAAAUGAAUAAAAGGCUCAUGUCAUCAAACUCUUCAAAUGUUUAAAGUAAGUAAAUCGAAGUGGGAUCAUAGUCAUGUAGAAUAACAUAAAAAAAAAAUAAUGCAUCGUUCGAGAGAACUAACCGAUUAACAACACAAUAACAAAAGAAAAGUGAACUUUCAAAAGUAGAUAAACAGUCGUACGAUCAAACAAGAACCAGCAAUCCCAAAGUAGAAGCAGGAAGCAAAAUUUAACCCAAAAGUAUAGUGUGGAAGAGUAUAGAAGUUAGUGAAAAUUUUCUGUAUAGAGAGUAGGAGAGCAUGAUAAGAGAUGUCCUGAAUACAAAUGAGGGGUGGCCGUUAUAUAGUGAAGGGACCACAAAAAUAAAAGAAAUAAGAAUAUUUGAUCAUUCAAACAAGGAGAUUAUUUUUCUACAUUAAGGAGGUAAAUCUAUUAACUUCACCGAUCAUGCUAUGGUUGCAACAAAUAAACAAAUAAGAAUCUAUCUAAAUCUUAAUAUUGAAAUCUUCCAUAAACAAAAUAAGGAAAAAAAAAUCUUUCCUACUUAUUAAAGAAGUCAAGAGGUGGGUAAAAGAUAUUAGUAUCAAUCAAUUAUAAUAUCAUCUACAUUUACCAUAAUUAAUACGUAAAUGAAUAUCUGUCACACUAAAUAAGGUCAAAGAGAAAUGAGAAAAUCAAUUAGUGAAAUAGUUCAUCAAAAAUCAAGGAAAAAUCGAAUUAGACACAAAAUCAAGGUAAAUGAGUGACAUCAAUAGGCAAAAUGUACCCAUAUUAAGUUUGCUACAUAUAACCUCAACAAAAAAAUCACGCAAUAUGUCACACAUAUUACAUGUAUGGAAUUAUCUUAGAUAGAGAGAUGAAACUUCCACAAACUAAUAUGCAGCACUAAACAAGUUAAGGGUAAAAUUGGGGCUUUCACAAUUGGGUAGUGUAAAAAUGUAAAUAUGCAUAGAAUUAAGUCAACCUAUCUCAGGAAUAUCACAAAUUUAAUAUCUAAAAAUCAUUGAAUAGGUAGAAGAAGAUGACAUUAUGAAAAUUACAUUACAGAAACAAACUUGACACGGAUUCAUAGAAUCUGUCAUGUAUUUCAAUGCUUUUGGACAAAAUAUAGUUGAGCAACAGCGAAGGCAGUGGCGAAAAGAGAGGGAAUAGCAUUGGGGAUCCUUUGGUUAGCUCUCCAGCCGUAUGGCUACUUGUAGCGGAGAUGGUUGGGUUCGUUGAUGGUGGAACCGACGGUGAUGAUGGCAGUGGCGGUGCUUAUGGAUGUUUCCAUUGUUCCUUUGGUGGUGGGCGACUAUGAAGGGAAUACGCAGGCUGGAGAGGCACAAGGAUGAAUGAAGGCGGUGGAGAAGGGUGGUUCGCUAGUGGAGAGAGGAGAAUGAAGAUAAGGGAAAGGGUGGCAAUUUUGGUAUAGAGGUUGCCGACCGACUGGUAAUCACAUCCAGUGGUGGCUGGAUCUUAGAUAGAGAAUGGGAGCCCAGAGAGAGAAACAAGGUGCGGUUAUUUUGGAAUAAUGAAUUAGAGUUUAGUUCUUUAAGUUUAAAAAGGCAAGAGUAUCCUGAGUAGAUCUUAGUCAUUAGAUCAAUUUGAUUUGCGCCUGACAUGGAGGAAUUUAAAAAUAGGUCAUAAACUGGGAUUUAAAUAGGAACUCUAAGUGAUAUCAAUUUUGGCUAAAAUUGAUAUCAAUUGGAAUAAAAAAUUAGCUAGAAAUUAAACACAAGAAAGGAAAAUUGGAUAAAAGUGAUUGUUAGUUUAAUAAAUGUAAUAAAUGAAAUAAGAUGUCCCUAUUAAAAUAAAUUAAUGUUACGUAAAAUAAUUAUAAAAAUUAUCGAUAAUAAUAAUAGACAAUAUAUUUGUAAAAUAUGAGUGUGCACAUGUACGUGAAAAAAUAAUUUAAUAAAUAUUAAUAAAAUUAUGUAAAAUGUCAUACUUGAAUUAAUAAAUUAUAAAAACAAUACUAAAAAAUAAUAAAAUAAUUUGUUCAUUUUUAAAUCGUGAAUGUGGCUUGUUGAAAAUUAUCUAAUACCAAAAUAAUGCACAAAAAAUAUUAAUAUUAAAGGUUAAAUAAUUUUGACAAAAAUAGCUGUCUAAGAGAGCAUCGAGAUGUCAAAAUUGGGUGUCAACACCAAUAAUUAGUAGUGUGUAUAAGAAUUUCUCCAUUUUUUUCUCAGCUAACUGAGGUCAACUUUAGGGUAACUCCUAUAGUUUUGAGUGGUACCUCAGCCAUACCUAAGUAUCGACAAGAUUCAUUCGGCUUGCUUCAAACAAAGAUUUUGAACUGUGCCUAUUCUCAUGUUUCAAGUGGCCUCUCUAGAAAGAGNNNNNNNNNNNNCAUUUUCACAACUAUUUGAGUAUUUUUAUUUUGAAUGUAGAGACGUUCAGAGAUAUACACUCACACUCAGAAAGUUCACUGAAUGCAAUUGCCAUACCAUAGGCUUGGCCUUCAUGUAAGUAUCUACUAAUGUGAGAACACUUAGAGUAGGAUCUUGUAGGACUUGUUAUUGGCUUAUAAUGUAGGCUUGGGAUCGGGUAGGAUGACAUUUGGAAUAAAAGUGACUAGUUCCUUAAUAAGCAUUGCACUGUAUCCGUGCUUUUGACAUUUGUUGCACUUUGACGCUCGAUCUUCUUUGUUUUUCUUCUUUGCCCCUUGUUUUGUGUUUACUUCGACGUCAUUUGAAUCUUGUGCUAGAGAUUUUCUCCGUUUCUUUUCAAUAAAUUUUUUUUUGGAUGAAGAUUCUCCAUCUUUGUUGGAGUUUCCUUUUUUUUCCUUUUUUAUGAGGAUUUUUGCUCCUUCUUCUUUAAAGUCGUCUUUUAUUUUUGUUCUUCUAGGGCUAAUAUGCUAUUUGCCUUUGGGACCUUUGAUCUUGAAUCUUCAUUCACAACUUGUAUAUACUUAGUACGCUCAAGGAGGUGGGCCAAAAGAGGGAUAGUUCAUGUAAGCAAUCAAAAGGUAUAGGCUCAGAUCUGGUUAUCCAAUGAAAAACUUUCAGGCUCAAAGGGGGAAAUGCUAGGAUUAAUGUCAUUUAAUGGGCUUUGGAAGACCCGAUCGGAUCAAAGAAGGCCUACAAUCCUUUAUCAAACCAAGUGUAUCUCAAAAUUUCCCCUCAACAGAUAUUCAGGCCAAGUUCUAGAUCAAUAAUGCCAUGCAAUGAACUAAUCUAAAGCUCACCACAUAAUGCACUUGAAAUAAUGAGGUUGACUUCGUUCUUGUCUUAGAUGAAUGCAAGAGAAUUUUUUUUUCAAAUGUCACUCAGGUUUGACUAAGUGGUACCAAAAGAAUCUAUGGUUUACCAUGAAGUUAGUCUUCUCCAUCAUACCACUUUGUUCUUUCUCAUGCACACUCCUAACUAUGUUGGUACCAACCAAGUCAUAAUUUUAAUAUUUUUAUUUAUUUAUAAAAAAUAAUGUGACAGGAUCCGAACGAGGGUUUGCCUACAUAUCUUGUAAAAAUAAGAAUCAGGUCUGGGUAGUUCAGGAAAAUUUAUAAAUAUAUAUAUACAACAUGUAGGAAUGUACAAGAGUGGUGAUCAUCCUUGAAAGUAAUAUGAAAGACGAUCAGGAAGAUUACUUAUAUCAUCAAAAUUGGUCCGAUCAGAUGAUCGAGAGGAUGGAUGUCAAGCAUAAGGAGUGUUUUGAAAUUACUUCAAUAUGUCAACAAGAUUGAGGAGGUCAGACAUUGAAAAAGUUAUGGCAUUAUUUCACCGCAGUUGGCAGGAUUGUUAUGAAUGAAAGAAUAUUGAACCCUUGUUUUAAGAGUGGAGAUCAAUAUGCCGUAAAUUUAAUGGUUUACCACGUUAGAAAGAAGAAGCUAGGUGUUCUCGAAUAAAAAUUGGGUGAGAAUUUGGAGGUAGACCCGCUAGGCACUAAUGUUAUUGAGAUUUAGAUCUGAGCAGCUAUUUAUUUGCGCUAAGACCUUUAGAGAGCGUCUUUGAACUGUUACAAAAAAAUUGCCCAGUUUGAAUACUGAAGGAAUUAUUCUAAAGCAGUGAAGAGACUGAAACCUAAUACAGGGAUGCCUACGUAUCUUGUCAUGACAAGAAUCAGGUCAAAACAUAGUUCAAACUCUUUUUUUUUAAUGAGUUUAUAUAUGAUGUGAUUUAUUUCUAUAAUAGAAAUUUUCCUAACUAGUUGAGAGUAGGACCGAAUAAUUGUGAAAAGUCACACUAACAUAAAUGCACCAAUUCUGAAACUAAGAAAUCCAAAGAAGGUUCAGAGGACUGCAGUACACCCUUCGCGUGUUCAGUGUGUGAAUUGUGUACGGCCAAAGACUCAAUGAAAUUGUAGUUUAGGAUUAAAUAAAAUAAAGAAUAAUGUGUAAAAGUUUUUUUUACAAUAUACAAAUACAAUGUAUUAAACAAGUAAGGAAUAAAAGAAUUGAUAAGGCAACAAAAUUAAUUUGCACAAAUAAUGUAGUGAAUUCAUGAACAAGUCUACGCAAUUUGCAAUGUGAAACAGAUAAAAAAUCAAAGAAUUAAUAUAUGCAAAAAAUAUAAAAACACCUCCCUCAAUUGAAAAAUUGAGUCUAUCAUGGUUAGAACCUGCUGUUAGUCCCCAGUGGAGUCGCCAUUCUGUCAUGCCCUAUUUUCACCAAGGUUAAACAGAACAUGACUUAUUGACUCUAAAUGAAUUAAAAAUUUGUACAGAGUUGCCACCUAAUUUUUAGGAAAAUAAGAAAAUCUAUUUAUUUAUUAACAUGUUUGAUUUAUGUCUUAGUCUGCGAAAAUCAAUUUUGAUUCUAGGUAAGGGUUCAUAUUAUUCCGAAGAAAAGCGAUUAGGCUCCCUUCAGAAUCCACAAAUGUGGUACCCGACUACACUCAAUUUAUCAAUGAGGGAGGAGGUAAGAAAUGAUUAUUUGAAAAAUAUAAAUAUUUAAAAUAAUAUGAAAAAUGUAUGUAUAUUAAGUAUAUAAAUAAAUUUUUUGUUAUGAAAAUAUGUACAAAAGUAUGUAUAGAAAUGUACAAUUUUGAUGGAAAAGAAAAAGUAUUUUGUGACAUUUAAAAAACAAAGUAUUUUUUAUGUACUAAAAAGAAAAAGUAUUUUUUAUGAACUAAAAAGAAAAAGUAUUUUUCAAAUAAUACUUUUAUUUAAUCAAAAUCACAAAGAAAAAUAAAGAUUCAUUUGAAAAGAAAAAGCUACGUAAUAUGUAAAUGUGUGAAUUAAUUGAUUAACUUAAUUAUUUUAUGUAACUAUUAACGGCCUAAGUUUAUCCUAAAUACGCGAUAAUGAGUAUGUAAGUAAAGAAUGUUCCCGCCUGACACCCCCAAAAGUAAAUUUUCACUGUACUUUCAUCUUUAUAUACAGUUACAAGAAAUAAAAUAAGAAAUAUAGAGCUCAAAACUUUCUUCCAGAUAUCAUAGGGUGUGUUAUCGAGAAUAUGUAUACACAGGUUAGUAACAAAACAAGAUAAAUUAAGAACUAUGUGUGGGUGUGUGUAUACAAAUAUACAUAAAAAAUAGAGUCUUUUUGUUAAAACAUGGGCUUGGAUUAGAUUUUAGAUUCACCAUGGCUAUGAAGUGGUUGCUCCUAAAUCAUCUUACCAAGGCACGAAUCGUAAAACGUUUUGUGUUGUUAUAUUUUAAAGAUUUUAUCAUCACCCGAAUUUAUUUUUUUUUGUUAUGUCUUUGUAUACGCAAUGUCCAUCUUUUAUUUGGGAAGGCCUCGAAAAUCGACAGGAGUUUCUUCAUUGGCCAGGUAUUGGCCCGUGAUAUAAAAUAAUAAAUUUUGAGCAAAUAAAGUUCGUCUUUUGUAAUGGGGUGGCCUCAAAAAUCUGAUGGAGAGAUAUUAUAAUCGGCCAUGUAUUUAUUUUAAUAUAAAUAAGUAAACUUGAGAAAUAAAAAUCCGGCUUUUGUUAUGGGGUGGCCUCGAAAAUUUGACUGAGAGAUAAUGUCAUUGGCCAAGUGUCAACCCUUGAUAUAAAAUAAUAAAUUUGAGAAAAUAAAGUUUGUCUUUUGUAAUGGGGUGACCUCAAAUAUCCGAUGGAGAGAUAAUGUCAUUGACCAAAUAUUUAUUUUCCAGUGUAAUGAAUUUAAAGGGGCGAAAACAGUCAAUUUAAAAUUAGCAGGAAAAGAGAAGGAACACUAAAAAAAGUAAAUCAAUCCAUGGUAGAGACAAAAUAGCUGAAGAAAUAGCAUCCUGAGAACAAAUUCCCAAUCUAAUUUCAGGUCAAACUUUAGCAAAGCAACAUCAAAAUAACUCAUGUACAAAUAUAAAACAAAUGCUAGUAUCGCCAGAGAACAAAACAUCAUACAGAACAACAAUAUGAUAAAUAAUUAAAAAGAAGCACAAUUAUUUAUAAAUUAAUGUUCAAGGGAGUAAACACCGGAAAACCCAUAGUUUUCGGUAUUGCAGUAGUGGUGGUGGCAUAGCGGAGUUGAUUUAAUGGCAUUUGUUGGAGCAACUUCGGAUAAUCAAAAUUCGGUCAAAUCUGUGUGAAUCAAAUGGGAAACAUGUUAAACUGGUUCAUAAGAGGAGAGAAUUCAAAGUAGUGGUGACUAUCAUUCCCAAACUAAUAACAAAAUAGAAGGGCAAGUAGAGAGAACGAGCGAUGGUAGUGUGUCUGGACAUCGCCGGCUACUACCGCCGGUGAGGCAGCGUGAGCAGCAGAAAAGCAAAAAUGGUGAAAACGACGGUGUUGGCUGGAUUUUUAUCACCGGCCAUCCGAUGUUCAAAUUCGGCAGUAUUAGUGAUCGAUAGCGGAGUCUGGAUAUUGGUAGUGGUGUGGUGGUCACCGGCUUUCCGGUGGUUAAACCCGACAGUUAGUAGUAAGGGUAGAGAGAAAAUAAAGUUUGAUUUUGGGAGAGAGAAAAAAAAUCAGAUUGUGAAGUGUGGGUGUAUAUUUUAUUAUGUGUACUUUUUGUGUGGUUUUAAGUAACUGUUUUUGAGUAUAUGUGUGUGUAUUUGUGGGUACUCCAUCGAAGCUCCGGUGGUGGAGAGACUGCAGUGAGAGCAGCCAUGGAAGUUGAAUGGUGUAAGAGAGAGGAAAAGAUGCGUAUAAAUGAAAAGAUAAAAAAUCAGAUUUUGUAUAUGUAUUUUGUCUAUGUGAAAAAAUACACCCCACCCACUUAUAUUUAGAAUAAAAAAAGGUAUCUUCUAUUAUCCAAAAAUUAAAAGAAUGUCUCCCUUUUUUUUUUUAUAAUAGCACACCCUUUAGUUCUUAGGAUAUUGACCAAAGAAUUUUCAUCCUUUUGACCAAUGAAAAAAAUUAUUAUCCAAAGGGUAGUGUCAUCGAGUUUUCAUUGUCAGAUAUGACAAGUCAUUAUGUGUAGUCAUUAUUGGAUAUGACAAGAUAUUAUUAUGUGGUUGUUGUCGGAUGUGACAAGACAUCAAAUUAUUAUACUGUGUAAAAAUAAUUAAUCCGACUUAGCAUUUACGGACUGGUAAAAAUGUACAAAAUGCAGGUAUUAACAUGUAAUUAUGAAAAAAAUGUAAGAAUGUUGAAAAUAUUGAAAAAUGUAAUUAAUUUUAAAAUAUAAUAAAAAUGUGAUGUCAUGCCAUGUACGUGUACAGAUGAUUGUGAAAAUGUCAAAACGAUAAUGAAUUGAUAAAAAAAUCUAAUAUACAAAGAAUUAUUAAUAAAUUAUAAUAAUUAAAAAAUAUGAUUAAAAAUCCUAUAAUGGGGAUGAUUAAGAAUUGUAAAAAAUAUGUGAAUUAUGUUUCAUGCCAUUUAAUGAUUAGGAAGCCUAAAGACGUUAAUUUUGAGUACGGAGAGCAAAAAUUGGGUUUCAACACCCCCAGAUCUUCAUUGAUGAGGUGAGAAAGAUCACUCAAAUUAUGCAUGUUACCGAUGAGGAGAGUGUAGAAUUGGAAUCCUAUAGGUUGAAGGAUGUUUCUUAUGAUUGGGUUCUUAUAUGGAAGAAUGGUAGAGGUGAGAAUGGAGCUCCUAUGAGUUGGCAGGUAUUUCAGGAUGCAUUUCUGGAAAGGUUCUUUCCGCGUGAGAUGAGAGAAGCUAAGGUUUAGGAAUUUAUGAACCUGAGGCAGGGCUCGAUGGCGGUGAAGGAGUACUGUCUUAAGUUCACUCAGUUGUCAAAAUAUGCUCCCAAGUUGGUAGUUGAUCCUAGAUCUAGCAAGAGUAAGUUUGUUAUUGGUGUGUCUGGUUUGUUAGUUAAGGAGUGUAAGACUGUCAUGCUUGUUGGGUAUAUGGAUAUUGCUAGGUUGAUGACUCAUGCUCAACAAAUUGAGGCAGAGAGGUUGAAGGGAAGAGAGAGGGGAAAUAAGAAGGCUAGAAUUGGAUAGUUUGAGUAUGGUCAACCAAGGUCUGAAAGGAGAAAUUAUUUACAGUUCUAGGGUCAUUCAUCUAUGCUAGCACCAUCUUCAUCUAGUGCCCCUGCACCCAGAUCCAAGAAGGAUCAGUGGGAAAGGACUUGCCUAGUUAUCAAACAUGUGCAGAGUAUGGUAGAAGCCAUUCUGGUGAGUGUUUGAUAGGAAAGAGGGGUUGUUAUAGAUGUGGCAAGUUGGGUCACAGAGUCAAAGAGUGUUCAUAUGCUAAGUAAGAAGGUAGAGAUAUUCGUCCCCAGACUCAGGGUACUAGCGCACCAACUUCUCCAGGUUUCCCAGUCCCUCCUUAGGGCACAUCAUCUAGUACCGGUGGUGGUUAGUGCCAGAAUUUAUUCUAUGCAUUACCAUCCUGCUAGGAGUAGGAGAGUUCAACAGAUAUUGUUACUGGUAUGCUUCAUGUCUUCCAUUUUGAUAUUUAUGUGAUGUUACACCCAGAUUAUAUCUCUCUUAUGUGACUCCUUUGAUUGCGGCAAAUUUUGUGAUAGGUCCUAAAAAGAUCUCUAAUCCCUUCUUAGUUUCCACCCAAAUGGAUGAGUCAGUUGUUUCUAGACGGGUCUAUAAGAAGUGUCCUAUUACUGCCGUCCAUAAGAUCAUACUAAAAGACCUAAUAGAGUUAGAAAUGGUAGAUUUUGAUGUCAUUCUAGGCAUGGAUUGGCUCCAUUCAUACUAUACAUAAAUAGAUUGUCGCACCCAAGUGGUGUAGUUUUAGUUUCCUGAUGAGGCAAUUUUUGAGUGGGAAGGUAGUUCUGAAUCUUCUAAGAGUCAUUUCAUAUCCUUUCUUAAGGCCAAAAAGUUGAUAUCAAAAGGGUGAAUUUGUCAUUUAGUUUGAGUCAAAGACACUAAGUCUGAAGCUCCAACAGUUCAGUCAGUCCAUGUAGUCAAUGAGUUUCCUGAGGUUUUUCUCAAAGAUUUGCCAAGGGUACCUCCCGAUAAAGAAAUAGAAUUCGGUAUUGAUCUUCUUCCUGAUACUUAGCCCAUUACCAUCCCUCCAUAUUACAUGGCUCCGACCGAGCUUGAAGAUUUAAAAGAGCAGCUAAAAGACCUCUUAGAUAAAGGUUUCAUAAGGACUAGUGUUUCUCUAUGGGGCGCUCCAGUCCUGUUCGUACGAAAGAAAGAUGACUCUCUCUGAAUGUGCAUUGACUACCGCCAGUUGAAUAAAGUCACAAUCAAGAACAAAUAUUCUCUUCCUAGGAUUGAUAACAUAUUCGACCAGCUUCAGGGUGCAAGUUAUUUCUCUAAAAUAAACUUCAGAUCAUGAGAUCUUCAGCUUAGAGUAAGGGAAUGUGAUAUUCCAAAGACAACCUUCAGAACCCAUUCUGGUCACUUUGAAUUUCUAGUCAUUUUCUUUGGGUUGACGAAUUCCCCAGCACCCGUCAUGGACUUAAUGAAUAGAGUGUUCAAAUAGUACUUGGAUAUGUUCAUCAUAGUCUUUAUCGAUGAUAUUUUUGUCUAUUCCCAUAGUGAGAAUGACCAUGCAGACCAUCUCAAAAUUGUGUUGCAAACUCUUAGAGACCAUUAAUUGUUUGCCAAAUUCAGUAAGUAUUAAUUUUGGAUAAGAUCAGUAGCUUUCCUUGGCCAUAUUAUUUCUGGUGAUGGCAUUAGAGUUGAUCCUCAAAAGACCAAAGCAAUGAGAAACUAGCCUAGAGCUAUUUUUCCAUCAGACAUCAGGAGUUUCUUGGGUUUAGCUAGCUAUUACCGAUGGUUUGUUAAAGGGCUUUUAUCUAUUGUGUCCCCCAUGUCUAGAUUGACUCAAAAGAAAGUUAAGUUUCGGUGGUCAGAUUCUUGUGAGAAGAGUUUUUAGGAGUUGAAGACUCGACUCACUUCAGCCCCAAUUUUGACGCUACCAGAUGGUUCAAAUGGAUUUAUUGUUUAAUGUGAUGCUUCUAGAGUUGGUCUGGGUUGUGUUUUGAUGCAGAGAGCAAGGUCAUAGCCUAUGUCUCUAGACAGCUUAAACCUCAUGAGAAGAAUUAUCCCCCACAUACUUUAUCCUACACUUGAGGAGGCCAUAUACCAUGAUCAUUGGGAAACGAAGAGGGCGGGCCCCAGACAGCUCAAGAAAGUAUGCAAAGUAGGUCUUCUUAAAAAGUCCAUCUAUGUUUUCCUUCUUCAUAAUACUGUUAAGUUCGUUAAAAGGUUUCCCCAACUAACAUUUAAGUACAACAUCAUGAAAUACUGCAUUAGGGUUACUCAUCGACAUCGCAACUUGAAACCCAUCGAUACUAAUAGUUUUGACAAAUUCAUGCUGGGAUUUCGAUGUUAUUUCAAGCCCCAUUGUUGAUAAUGAGUUAUCACUUUCCUCAGCUUCAUUUUUCCCUGACUGAGAUUGUUCUAGAAGUUCCUCUGAAUCUAUUUGUAGUCUAGACUUUUUUGUUGGGUGGUCAGAAGUUGAUCCACUUUUAAUUUUUUUUUAUUUUGGGAGACAUCUUUUAACUACAAACAAUUGAAAAACAAAAAAAUACAUUGCAUUUGAUGUCUGCAUAAUUUUUUUUAAAAAGGUAAGACAAAUUUCAAUAAAUUAUUCUACGCCACAUAACAAAAAAAUACUCCAACAGACAUCCCAUCAGUUAGAACAGAUGGGGAAUCUAUUUGAAAACCUAUUUAGUAUCUCCCAAUAGAUAUUCCACCUAUUGCAACAGGUGAACAAAUUUCAAUAAAUUAUUUUACGCUACAUUACAAAAAAAAUACUCCAACGGAUAACCCAUCAGUUGGAACAGAUGGGGAAUCUAUUUGAAGAACUAUUUAAUAUCUCCCAACAGAUCUUCCACCCGUUGCAACAGACGGACCACCACCACCACAACCAAUGCCACCACUAAUGCUACCAAUACCACCACCAAUGCCACCAACACCAACACCAAAACCACCGACACCACCGCCAAAAAGCACAAAUACUAACACCACCAACAACUGCUACCUAUAAAACCACAAACACCAUCUAACAAUACCACGACAGUUAACAAAACACUGAGAGAAAAACUAGGGUUUUCUCAGGUGCUUCCUACUUUUUUAGCAAAAUUGUUAACCCAUUCUCGAAGGUAAUACAACUAAAAGUCUUGUUUUUCAUCAUUAACUAAAAAGCCCUAUUUUUUAGAAUAAAGAACAAAUGUAGAACUCUUCUCAAACUCUAUUACCUGCGAAGACAAAGAAAACGACAGAUACAAAUAGGAAUGAAGUCGAAAAAAACAACUAUAUGUGGUCAUAAAUGGGAAGAAAAUUGACCUGUUUUAAACGGUUGAGCAAUAUAUUGAGUCAUUGUUGUUUGUAUUGUGGAGACAGAGAGGAGACCCCGAGAGACAGAGAGAGAGAAAAAAGAGAAAACUUUAUAUUUGAAAUGAAAAGUUUUUCAUGCAAAUUGAUGAUUUGUAUGGGUUAAGUUGUAAUUUUGGAAAAGAAUGACAAGUAUUGAAAUUGCUAAUUUGGUCUGAAUUGAUCUUAAUUAAUUUUAAAAAUGUUAAAAGAUAUAGUUUUUAAGACAUUGAGUUGGUGAGAACUCAUUUUAAUUCAAAGUGAUCGAUCGAUGACUCAGGUCGGGAUAAAUACAGUACCAACGCCAUGCAAUUGCAAAGACUUGAUUGGAUUUAUAGUUGACCCUAUGAUCUCAUUCAUUCAUCUCUAGUUCCACCUAAAUCAACUUAGGUACUAUCACUAUCCUAACAUUGAGUUCAUGAGAACUCAUUUCAACUCAGAGUGAUCGAUCGACCACUCGGGUCGUGAUGAAUGCAACACCAAUGCCAUGUAAUUGCCAAGACUCAAUUGGAUUUAUAGUUGACCCUAUGAUCUCAUUCAUUCAUCUCUAGUUCCACCUAAAUCAACUUAGGUACUAUAACUAUCCUAUUAUUUAGUUGAUGAGAACUCAUUUUAACUCAUAGUGAUCGAUCGACGACUCAGGUCAGGAUGAACGCAAUACCAACGCCAUGCAAUUGUAAAGACUCGAUUGGAUUUAUAGUUGACACUGUGAUCUAAUUCAUUCAUACUUAGUUCCACCUAAAUUAACUUAGGUACUAUCACUAUCCUAACAUUGAGUUGAUGAGAACUCAUUUCAACUCAGAGUGAUCAAUUGAUGACUUGGGUCUGGAUGAACGCAAUACCAACAUGAUGCAAUUGCCAAGACUCAAUUGGAUUUAUAGUUGAGCUUGUGAGAUCAUUCAUUCAUCUCUAGUUUCACCUAAAUCAACUUAGGUACUGUCACUAUCCUAACAUUAAGUUGAUGAGAACUCAUUUCAACUCAUAGUGAUCGAUCGACGACUCGGGUUAGGAUGAACGUAAUAGCAAUGCCAUACAAUUGCAAAGACUUAAUUGGAUUUGUAGUUGGCCUUGUGAGCUCAUUCAAUCAUCCCUAGUUCUACCUAAAUCAACUUAGGUACUAUCAUUAUCCUAACAUUGAGUUGAUGAGAACUUAUUUCAACUCAGAGUGACCGAUCGAUAACUUGGGUCUGGAUGAACGCAAUACCAAUGCCACGCAAUUGCAAAGACUCGAUUGGAUUUAUAGUUGACCUUGUGAGCUCAUUCAUUUAUCCGUAGUUCCACCUAAAUCAACUUAGCUACUAUCACUAUCCUAAUAUUGAGUUAACGAGAACUUAUUUCAACUCAGAGUGAUCGAUCGAUGACUCGGGUCUGGAUGAAUACAAUACUAAUGCCAAGCUAUUGCAAAGACUCGAUUGGAUUUGUGGUUGACCCUAUGAGCUCAUUCAUUCAUCCCUAGUUCCACCUAAAUCAAUUGCAAUAAAAUUUAUUGUAACAAAUGAUUGAGUUGUUGAAAAUUUUUAAACAAAUAUUCAUAUUUGUUGCAAUAGAUGACAUAUCUGAUUUAAUUAUCAAGUAGACAUUUGCAUAUGUUUUUAUAGAUGACUGAGCUGUUGGAAAUUUUCAAACAGAUAUUUAUAUCUGCUGGAAUAGAUAACAAUUUGAUUUAAUUAAUUAUCAAAUGGACAUUUUCAUUUAUUGUCAUAGAUGACUGAACUGUUAGGAUUUUUAAACAAAUAUUGAUAUCUGUUGUACCAGAUGACAGAGCUGUUUGGAUUUUUAAACAGAUAUUUAUAUAUGUUGCAAUAGAGGAUAUAUCUGUUUGAAAAUCUUUUUUUCUCUUUUAAUUUUAAACAAGCUUUUGUCUGAGUAGAUAAUAUCAUGUAGUACUUACUACUAAAGGCGGUAAAAAAUAUUUUUUGAAUAUCUCAAAAGUGAGUUCAUUGAGCAGUCUUGUCUUGUCUUUUCAAUGUCACUAGUCUAAGUCUUCCUUGUGCCCCUUAAAUUAUUAAUGAAAUUAAUGAAUAUUAAAUACUAAAUAUUGAAAAUCCCACGUCUAUGUACACAAUACAUCUAUAUUAAUUAUCUCAUCUCUCUUUCUUCAGCUGCAGUUUAUUUUAUUCAACUCUUAUUUUUUUCUUUCUCUCCUUUUUAGGGUUAUCAUAACCUUUUUUCUCUAUUUUCUCUUCUCUUCUCAUAAAUAUCCUUUCGGAGCUAAACUGAUCCAUAUCUUUCUUUGACUAAAAUUGCUAUUUUGAUCCCCUUUUUGACAUUAAGAUAUGGUUCAUUAUUGCUCUUUCAUUCUCGUUUUCUUCUUUGCAAGUUAUUUACAUCUGUUUUUUUAUUUAAUUACUAUUUACCUAUAUUAUAUUUACUAAAAAAUUUGAAGGAACUUUUCAGCGUUGAAUAAAAAAAUUGAGAAUUUUUAUUACAAUAUGCAAAAAAAGUCAUCUAUUGGGAGAAGUUUAAAAGCCUUGUUGGCAGUAUCAUUUUUUUGUAUGCAUUUUGUUUGUUUAUUUAUUGUUGAUGCAAUUAUUGAUAUUGGUGGUGGGGUUGGCGUUGUUGGAACUUGUGCUGUGGUGUUGUUGAUGAUGUUGUUGGAACAAAUGUUAUUGUUUCUUUGUUGUUGAUGUUUUUUAUUUAUAGUUUAUGCUGUUGUUGAUGUUGCAACAGAUGGAGAAACUGUUGGAGCUAAUCAAACCACCAGAAAGGCUGGUUUGAUGUAGUCUAACAGACUCCACAUCUAUCGCAACAGACUCCAUAUUUGUUGCAACAGACUCCAUAUCUAUUGCAACAGACUCUACAUUUGAUGUAACAGGCUCUACAUCUAUUGCAAUAGAUGGAUAAUGUUCUUUCUAUGACAUCAAUUUUUUUCCUCUUCAUUAUAGAUAUAAGGAACUAAUAGUUGAUUGGGUUUUUUCGGUUAUCAUGGAAACACACAUAGAGUGCACUGAUUUUCUAAAUGUUAUUUUUACUAAUUAGUCAUAGAUCAUUCAAACAGGAUGUCUGCAAUUUUAGAGUUAAGUUUGGUAGGUCUGAAUUGAUAAGGCUGAGGGACCAUGAAUAUGGUUCUGAUACCCUGUUAAUAUUUAAUGUCGGAUGUUGUUCAUAUUUAUUUGUCAAGCAUUGUUAAGGGAUCUAGUUUUGGUGUCAUUGUAAAGAGAUUCAAUAGCGAUUAGACUAACUUUUAGGGUGCAUUGGACCCUUAGAGGGCCUUCAAAGCUUAGGACUGCAUCUAACAAGAACAAAAAAUCAAUAUAGUUAUUGCCCUAGCCCAAAUUUAUAUGGUUGGGUUGCUCGGGGUGAUAAUUAUAUACCAAAAGGUGUGGUAGGAGAAUGCCUUCAAGGGAAAAUAGGUGGUUGAUGAAAGACUAUAUCAUCUGAGAGCUAAUUGAAGAUGAUACAUAGGGUAGAAAGUAACUUCUAGCUAAUCUGGCCAAUGGAAUUAUCUUAAAAGAUGCAACAUCUGAAUCAAGUGCAAAUAUGAAAGUGUAUCCGGUAAUGUAAUUUUGUAUGUUAUCUAUCUAGAAAAACAUAAUGUAGAUUGACAUUUCUAGGGAGCUGCGUGGUUAGGAUUAUCACCUAGAUAGAAAAUAGGAGAAGACCAACAAAGCAGCCUCACGGGCAUCGAGGGUUGAAAUGAUGUACAACAAGUCUAGAAAACUUACGCCAAUAGCAACUAUAGUUAAAAUAAGGAAUCUAAGCGAAGACGAAAAUUUUUGAAUUUUAAAUUUCAUCCUAUGCAUUCUUGUUUGUGUUUUCGAUCAGGUCCACUACCGUUGACCUGAUCGAAACCACAAACGAGACUGAAAGGCAAAUUGCCUCCAGCUUGCUGAUUCUGUAUUCAAGCUGGUCAUUUCCGUCUUUGAAGUUGGUCAAGAGUUUCUUAUCUCUUGUGAGCUCGAUCAAGGACACCACCUUCAAAGUUGUAGCAUUUUAGGUGCCCUUCAGAAUAGUUUCUUCAGAAGCCUUAAAGGAUACAUUGAGGGUCACUGUAUUUGUUUUAGGUCACAAUAUGUUGAUGCACACUAAAGAUGUGGUCCUAACAGUUGAACAACACAAUUUUAUCGAGCGUUGCUCAAUGCAUCUUGCUCAACCAACUUUAUAAAUUAAUAAGCAUGGAGUUAGGUAGAGUGUGAUCUAAACCGACUCUACCAAGCCUAUCAAAUGUUAAGUAACUCAAGGCUCAUUACCCUAUAAAAAUAUGACCGAGUUAGUGCACAAAUUAAAUGAGCUCAAUCUCUUAGACUUUUUGUUGAUCGCUCUUCUCCAAUAUAGAUGACAAGAUAUUUGCUAUGCAAAAGUCUACACCGUCACCAAACAUGCUUGCCAGGGAGCAAUUCUUCAAAGGCAUCAAUAAUAAUCUCUCAAUAUCAAGUGAUAUUGAGAGAUUCCUAGUCAUGACUUCCCAAGACUUUUGCUACGGCAAGAAUUUUUGCUGAUGACAAGAUAUUCGCCAUGCAAAAUUAUACAACAGAUGGGCACUUAUAUUGGAUUUAUGAUCAAGGUUCUAUUCAUUGUCAUCUAGUGUAGACUUUUGCAUGGAGAAUAUCUUGUCAUCAGCAGAAAUUCUUGCCGUUGUGAAAGUCUUGGGAAGUCAUGACUAGGAAUCUCUCAAUAUCACUUGAUAUUGAGAGAUUACUAUUGACGCCUUCUGAAGAAUUGCUCCCUGUCAAGCAUUUCUGGUGACGAUGUAGACUUUUUCAUAGAAAAUAUCUUGUCAUAUAUAUUGGAGAAGAGUGAUCAGCAGAAAGGCUUAAAGAUUAAGCUUGUUUGAUUUGUGCACUAACUCGGUCAUAUUUUUUUUGAUAGGGUAAUGAGCUUGGAGUUAUGUAAUGUUUGGUAGGCUUGGUAGAGUCGGUUUAGAUCACACACUACAUAACUCCUUUCUUGUUAAUUUAUCAAAUUAGUUGAGCAAGAUGCAUUGAGCAACACUCGAUAAAGUGUGUUGUUCAAUUGUUGGGACCAUAUCUUCAAUGUACAUCAACAUAUUUUGACCUAAAACAAACACAACAACCCUCCAUGUAUCCUUUAAGGCUUCUGAAGAAAGUAUUCUAAAGGGCUUCUAGAAUGCCACAACUUUGAAGGUAGUGUUCCUGAUCGAACUCACAAGAGAAGAGGAACUCUUGACCAACUUUGAAGAAGUCAACAACUAGCUUGAAUACAGAAUCAGCAAGCUGGAGGCAAGCUUGAAAAUUAUUGGAAUUUACAUACUGCAGUAAGCAUCUGAUCUUCUCCAAGGAAUAUUGAAAGUAUGCUAAGGCAAUAAAACACAAUCAAUUAAUCUAUAUUUCUAAGGAAGUAAUGAUACUCUAUUUGCCUUCCAAUCUCAUUUGUGGUUUGGAUCAAGUCAACGGUAGUGGACCUGAUCGGAAACACAAACAAGAAUGCAUAGGAUGAAAUUUAAAAUUCAAAAAUUACUGCCUUCGCUUAGAUCCCUUAUUUUAACUGCAGUUGCUAUUGAGUAAGUUUUCUAGACUUGUUGUACAUCAUUUCAGCCCUCGAUGCCCGUGAGGCUUCUUUGUUGGUCUUCUCCUAUUUUCUAUCUAGGUGAUAAUCCCAACCACGCAGCUCCUUAGCAAAGUUUCCAUCUGCAUUAUUUUUCUUCUAGAGAGACAACAGACGAAAUUACAUUAUCGGAUACACUUUCAUAUUUGCACUUGAUUCAGAUUUUGCAUCUUUUAAGAUAAUUCCAUCGGCCAGAUUCGUUAGAAGUUACUUUCUACCCUAUGUCUCUUUUUCAAUUAGAUCUCAGAUGAUAUAGUCUUCCAUCAACCACCCAUUUUUCCCCGAAGGCAUUCUCCUACCGCACCUUCUGGUGUAUAAUCAUAAACCCGAGCGAGCAACCCAGCCAUAUAAAUUUUUGCUAGGGGAAUUUCUAUUGAUUUUCCAUUCUUGUUUGAUGCAAUGCGAUACUUUGAACGUGUUCUCAGAGUCCAGUGCACACUUAAAGUUAAGUCCAAUCGCUGUUGGUUCUCUGCAAUGACGAUAAAUAUUGAUCACUUCUCAAAACUUAACACGCAUAAACACGAGCAACAACCGCCAGUAAUUUGUAACAAAGUAUCUGCACUAUCUUCAUGAGGUCCUCAGCCUUAUCAAUUUCAAAUCCAUCAAACUUAAUGGUAUAAUGCAGGAUCUUGUUUGAAUGAUUAGUGCCUAAUCGAUUAAAAACUGCAUUCAUAAAAAUAUUAUACUUUGUGUGUGUUGUCCCGGUGACCUUAUAAGUAAUACAUACUUAAAUCCCACACAUAUGAUAGUGGAUCUAUCUGCAUGCACCUUAUUCUUCCUAGCCUAUUGUAAUACCCCAAACUUUCUUUAAGUCGAGUUUCAUCCUUAAGAAGAGUAAGGGCUGACUUUCCAAGUGAGAAAUAUUUUAAACCAUGUAAAAUUUACCAAAUAUCAAAUUUUUAUCAUGUGGAUAAUUGAAUAAGCUUUCCGUCAAUACCAUAUUCAUCAAAAUUUGAUGUCAGGGUAAAAAGUUAUAGACAUUUUACAGAAAGUUGUCUGAACUACCCAGGUGCGACGGGCAGGCCGAUGAACCGUUGAGCUAGCAACGGACCAUCUCCCAUAGUCGUCGCCAUGAGGUAGUAGUCCUAUUCACUGGCCAAGUAAAAUGGUCAGGACCGACAAACUGACAGACCACCGAGCUAGAGACGGACCGUUGCCCCAGGGCAUCGCGACGAGACAGUAAGUCCCAGUUUUGGUCCAGGUGCAAUGGUCAGUCUGACGGAUCGUCGAACCAGAAUCGUAUCGUCGUAUGUCCCAUUCAGUGAUUUUUAGUCAUUUUAGAAAGGGCUUUUUGGUCUUUUUUUCACCCUUUUUAGUAUCUAUUUAUAUCAUAUCAAGGCUCAUAACUUUAUUAUUCAUCUAUAACAUCAAAAGCUAGGGUUUCUUUAAAGAUCAAAAACCCAAGAACAAGAACAAAACCCUUCUUCAAUAAAACUCCAGAAACGAAGAAUCUCUCCAAGAACCUUCAAGAAAUAGUUUCCUAAGGUAUGUUAGAUGUUGAUUCUUGGGUUUCUUCCACCCAAAAAGUUCAAGAAUCCUUUUAAAAAUUACAAAGUUUAUGUAUUUAUGAGAUUUCAUGAUUUAUAUGUAUUGAAGUUCAUGAUUAUGUGUUGUUGAGUUUUAAUUCAUGAUUUAGAAUGCAGGUAUUAAGAAUUGAUUCUAGCAUGUGAUUAAUUGUGUGAUGUUCAUGAUAAACCCUCUUCAAGGUGCAUGUUGGUUGAUGAAAUCAUGAUACUUGGGUGUAGUAUUUGUUGUAUAACUAAAUCAUGCUCCCCACAUGUUUGACAAAAUUCUUAUGUGAAAGAAAUAGAGUCAAUAUAGCACGGUUAGCAAGAAAUCCCCAAUUAUUUAUAAGUUCAUGUAAGCCAAGUGUUUGUUGAAAAGCCUUAUUGAAUGAUUUAUGAUAUGUUGUAUGCAUUCCCAUUCAUGUGUAUUCCUUAUUAAGUGAACUUUGAGAUAUUGGUAUGCAUUUCCUAUACCAUUACAUAUUUAUGAUAUUCAAGUGAUUGGCGAGAUGUCACAUUGAUUAUGUUGUAGAUGAUAGCCUAUUGUCAUGUCAUGUAUGAGUUAUCCCGUUUUAUGAUAUUUAUGUUAUCGAGUCCUGGGGGUAUCUAAUACUUGAAAUUUAGCUGCUUGUCUAGAGCUGAGUUAGUCUCAAGAUAAUCUCAGACGUGCUAUGCUCAGUAGAAUUCAGACAUUUACAGAACUUAAGGAAAUUCAGUGAUCUCAGUAUAAGUGCAAUCCAUUCUUAGUAUCAGUCUAAUCUGACUUAGUAUUUAGUUCUAACUAAACAGUAUUCAAAAGUAAUCAGUAUUCAGUAGUAUUCAGUAUUCAUCUCAGACUUCAGUGAGUCUCAGUAGGCUAACAAGAAUUCAAUAGCAUUUAGGAAUAUAGUAGAAUCCAAGUGACAUUCCGUCAGUUAAUGAAACCAAGUGAACUCAGUCAGAUCAGUCAAGAAAUAUGAAUAGUAACAAAUUCAGCUCAGUCUAAGUUCAGUUAAGAAUCAGUUUAAAGUCCUUUAGUUGGGAGUAUGAACUAGCACCGAGCGAGUACAGGGAUAACGGCUUCCCCGUUAGAGAGGUAGAGUCAUUAGUAAUAGUCCCUGAUCUUCAGAACUGUAUAGCCAGUGCAGGAGCAGGAGUCACCCAUUAGAUUAAGGCUUGACUAUCAUACUGCCUUAGGCUUGACUUCCUGUUCAGGGUCACCCGUUAGAGAGGCUUGACCAUAGUAUAGGUCUUUACCCGUGGCACGAUAUUGAUACUUUUCCAGCUGGGGUUACAGGUUGGACCCCACUAAUUUAGAUUUGGGUCAUAUCGGUUAAGUGAGAAAUCCUACAGUUGCAGUUUCAGUAUCAGUCUUCAGAGUAGUAAUCAGAAAUUAAGACUGUCAGAUAUAGUCACCCUCUCAGUAAGGAACUUAGAUAGUUCUAUAGAUUCAUGAACCACCUAUUAGAUAGGUCUGGUCUCACAUAAAAUUAAUCAGUAUCAGUACUAAUAGAUCCAGAGAUCACCCAUUAUAUAGGACUGAUCUCAAACUUAGUCCAUUAUUUCUAAUAUUAAAAGAUUUAGAGAUCAACCGUUAGAGAGGCUUGAUCUCCGAUUUAAUUAGUCGAUAGUAGCAAGCUCAAAACUCAGUUAUUAAUAUGAGUAGAUUCAGUUAUUCAGUAUUUUAGAGAUAGUAAACUCAAAUAUCAAUAUUAGUAGACCCAGAUAGUAAACUCAAAUAUCAGUAUUAGUAGACCCAGUCAUCAGUAAGUCAGUAUUCAGAGUUUGUAUUCAGUGUUACUGCAAUUCCAAUUUUGGUUUGUGCGUUUAUGCAUAUAUCCCCAUUCAGUAUUCUCAUGAUAUUCAGUUAAGUGAUAUUCAUGUACAAGCCCUUGUAUUCAGCCUUACCUCAUCUAGCAUACCAGUACAAUAAAAGUAUUGAUGUAUACCUUCUUACGCGAUGGUGUCUUAUACCAUAGGUUCAGAUGUACGGGAUCUAGAGCACCCAUAGCAUUCCAGACUUAGUUAGCAGUAGUAGAUAUAGCAGUGAGUCCUCUUCAUUCGAGGAUGAUCCAUAUUUUCUUAUCGCAUUAGAUUAGAUUUAUUUUCAGUAUAUGGAGUGUAACACCCCAUAUUUUUGGGCUAGAGUUUAGACCAUCGUUUCUAUGUAUAUAGACCUGAACUGAAUUAUUCUUGUAAUGCCCCGCAUUUUGGGCUACAAUAUAGACCAUGAUUUCGAUACAUUGAUAAUCCUGAACCCAUAAAUCCUAUGCUAAUAUGGCAUGUUAAUUAUUUGCAUAGUAUUUGAAUCCAUUCAAGCUUGAAUUUAGACCACAGAGGUCCUUCAACUCAAGGACGAGUUGAAACUAUUUUGAUCUAUUAAGUUUUAGUGGAUGUUGUAAUUUGUGUCAGCUUCUAUCGACCAUAAAUUUCUGUCUAUGUCAAAUUAGAGAGCCUACUAUGUAUCAAAUGAUAGGUCUUCGAGUUAGCUUUCCAAUGAUACCAAUUUUUCUAAAAUCUGGCACCCGAGCAAGAAGUUAUGGCCUUUCAAAGUACUAGGCGGCGCCUAUGUAAACAUAGGCGAUAGCAUAGGCGCCGCGGCGCCUAUGUAAACAUAGAGAUAGCAUAGCCAGCGCCUAUGUAAAGGUUUCAAGUGACUUAAACACUCAGUUUUUGGGGCAAAAUGGUCCUUUUCCACCCUUACUUAGCCCUAAACACAAAAUUCAGUUCCCAAAGACCCCAAAAUACACCUUCAUUCAUCAAAAUUGUUCAAGAACUCUCUAGGGUUUCAAAUAAAAACCCAAGCAAUUCAAGAUUCAACCAUGGGUUUUAGAAACUAAUUGUAUAUUUGGAAUCCUCUCAACAUAGGCUUUAAGAAACACCUAAUAGUUGUAGUAAUCGAGGUACGUGGGGUUAUCUCAAAAAACUCAUGGGCUUUAAAAAUUUAUGUUUUCAAAUGGGGGUUUUGAAAUACGAAUAUGAUUAUGUUUUAAACGUUUUAAGAUAUUGAUUUGGUCCUUAGGCCUACUCCCAAAAUGAUUUGCUAUAUAAUAUAUGUAUAUGCAUGUAUUCCAAAAAGAUGUUAACUUUAGAGCAUAAAUGAUAUAACAUUUCCUCUCUUGAUAUGAAUUUGUUUUAAAUGUUCAUAUGAUGUAAAUUAUUUGAAAAUAUCUUGAAGAGCAUGACAUGAAAUGUUUUUGAGAAUUGAUAUGAUUUUAACUUGAAAACGAGAAGGUUAUUCAUGUUGAAUACAAUGGUUGAAUGAGAAGAAUGAUGUGAUAUUAAUGGCUUGCAAGUUGGGUAUGACGAUACCCUGCAGAGUAUGACAUGUUAUUGUUUUGAACGAAGUUUAAGUGCAUUGAUUUUCAUAAGAAAGGUGGAUACUCGAAGAAGGCGUUUGAGUGAAAGGGCUCAUCGCUGGAAACUGUAGUUGCCGAUGCAGGUUAUAUGAUAUUGUAUCCUACAUGGGAGGAUUAAUAAAAUUAUUUGGGGGAUCUUACAUGGGGGGAUUCCAGCGGUGUGCUCACAUGGGGGGUAUCACUGGCUCCAAAUCCUGGCGGCUACUUGGAUUGAAGGCUCGGUCGUUGAGCUAAAAGGCGGAUUCCACAUAGCCGUGGAAUUACAAAUUGUAGGGUAUUCCACCUAGCUCAAAUACAUUGCAUUGUUGUUGAAAAAUCAUUACAUUAUGCCCAUGUGUUUUUCAAAUGAUUUAAUAUAAAACUGCUCUUAUAAUGGUUCUCACCUAUAUUUGGUAAAAAUAUUAUAUUUCUGUUUUGAUUUCUCUGCGUACCAGUACUUUUGUAUUGACCCCCCUUCCUCCCAGGUUCGAAGGCGCAGUCUAGGGGUCUAGAAAAUCAGUAGAUUUCUCAGACAGAGUUUUAGAGUCACUUGGUGAGCCUUCUAUAUUUCGGAAGGCCUGAUAUCUGGUAGUUUUAUUUAUCAUUUAUUAGUUUUGGAUCUACUGCGAGCCUUCUCCCAGUUUUCAGAUAGACAUUUGUUUCAGUCAUGUAGUAGAGAUAUUCGCAGACAUUAUCGAGAUGUUGUUUGAGAUUGAGGGACAUUAUCCCCCAUUAUUGCUUUUAUAUGAUUCUAGACCAUGUUUCUGUAAUAUUAUUUAUCUUCCGCAUUUCUUUUUCAUAUGAAUUAUGUGCAUGAUUACCACACAGAUAGGGGUGUUUCGGACCAUCAUGGUUCGGGAUACUCAUCACGGCCAGGGCACGGGUUCGGGUCGUGACAUGGAGUUAGUUGGGGAUAUGUCCCAUCAACUCCACAGUUCAGACAGUUUUGAGGCUUUUCAGAUAAAUGUAUCAGUAUUCAAUUUUUAGUUUUGAGUAUUGAUAUUUUGAACCUUUUGGCAAGUUUCUGCCAGUUUUCUGCAUUUAUUUCUGUAUAUUAUGCAGUGCUCAGUUACAGGUACCAGCACAGGGUUAUCUUGUGGUCCUUCGGGAUCAAGAGCAUUGUGCGGCAUUUCGGUUCCAGAAAAUCAGGGCGUUACACCCAUCUAUGGCUUAAAUUGAUAAACAGAUGACUAGCUAGUUGCAACAGAUGCCACAUCUGUUUAUAUUGUCAAAUAAUUGGAGACAUCUGUUACGACAAAUGAUCAAACUAUUGCAACAUAUGACGUAUCUGUUGCAAAAGAUUGCCAGUAUAUUGUAAGUUAUCUAACAGAAGGAAUAUAUUUUGCAACAGAUUACCCAUCUGUUAGGUUUAUUUUAAAGAAAUUUUCUCUUCUUUUCGAGAUACAAUAAUUUAUAAAUAGGUUCCUCCUUACAAAUACGGAUGAUCUAAAUUCGUACAAGAAUAUUCAUAUCGAUUCCUUGUGUGAACUUCAAAGGCAGUUUGAUGAACUCCAGAGAGAUUUGGCUGACUUCGGAGCAACGCUGGGGAGCAAGGCUACCGGAUGAAAAAUGUCUGAUUGACAAUAAUAAUAAUAUUAGUAAUAAUAAUUAGGUAAUAUUUUUUAUUUUAGCAUAUGUAUUUUCCUCCUUUUGUAUAUCGGAUCUACCCAAGGGAUUUAAAAAUCUAUACAUUUAUUUGGUGGUCGACUUUGAAUUUUUAAUUCUUAUUUAGUAUUUAAUAAUCAUUCUGUUUAUUCCUUGUUCUCAACAUGUCGAUAGUUGGUGGUAAGGAUUGAGCAAUUUGUGUCAACAGAGGUUAAUCUGAUGUGAUAGAUCGAUCAUAUAUUGCAUCAGAUAGUUAUUAAUAAAAAAAGAGUUAUUAUUGUUAUUGAGAGGGUGAAAAGACAUGACUUUCUGAUUAUUUAAUAUGAAAAAUAUUUCAUAAAUAAAUAAUAAGUAAAUAAAUGAUAAACACAAUUUAUAACUGUAAAAGAACGAUUAUUUAAUUUUAAUAACUGAUCGUGACUUUUCACCAUUUUUGUUUUUGAAUUUUUUUUAAAAAUUAUUUAUUAUAUAAUAAAAAAGUCAAAAUAUUGGAUUAAUUAACUUAUAUGAUGAUUGUUAAGAAAAACAAGGUGAAGGUCAUGACUUUUUGUCUAAAACAAAAACACAUACAUUCAACAGUGUUGCUGAUGCAUCAAAUUCUCCAUCUGUUUCGACUGAUGUAUCAGCUAUUAGAAGAAAUAAAAAAAAGAUGUUAACAUAGAACGUCUAUUUGUUGCUACAGAUGGUAUAUCUGUUGCAAUUGAUGGUUUAUCAGAUUCAACAGAUGUACAAUCUUUUACCAGAAAAUAAAAAUGGUUAUUAUUUCAUUAAAAAUUUUGAAAAGGUGUUUUUUUAAAAUUUAUAAAAUAAAAAAGUCAGCAAAUUUGGAUUAAUGAUAUGAUGAUAGUUUUUUUUUAGAAAAAAAGUAGAUUAUAUUUUGCAACAAAUAUAUUAUCUGAUGCAACAGAUUCACUAUUGUUGCAACAGGUGAUAUAUCUGUUGUCACAGAUAAUUUGUCUGAUGCAACCGAUAUAGAAUCUGUUGUCACAACUAAAUAAAAACAGUUCUUGGAAAGAACUAAUUAAUAAUAAUAAUCUGAAAAGCCAUGACUUAUCAAAAUAUUUCUUAAUUUAAUUAAGUCAUUACUUUUCACAGUAAUAAAAAAUAUAAUUAAUAAAUGGAGGUGAACAGUUAGAUUAUAUGUUGCAAUAGAUAGGUUAUCGGAUGCAACAAAUUAUAUAUUUGUUGCAACAGAUGAUAUAUCUGUUGUCACAAAUGUAUUAUCUGAUGUAACAAAUAUAGAAUCUGUUGCCACAGCUCAAUAAAAAUGCUUCUUGGAAAGAACUAAUUAAUAAUAAUAAUCUGAAAAGUCAUGACUUAUCACAAUAUUUAUUUUCUUAAUUUAAUCAAAAAUAUAAUUAAUGAAUGGAGGUGAAUAGUUGCGCCUUUUCGCCUCUCAUUCAAAUUCAAUCUUCUAUAAAUAGGUCUCUUCUUACUCAAUCGUUCAUUCAACUAUACUCUAUUUAUUUGUUGUAUCCCGUCUUUCAUAUUACACUCUAGAAGAUUAUCGCUGACCCAAUGUGGGACAUUGCUUUUCUACAAGACGCCGUGAAUGAACUUCAAAAUCAAGUUCGUGACCUGCAAUGGGAACUGGGAGGAGUUAGAACAAGAAUGCUUCGCGAGAUAUGUAGGUUGAGGAGGGCCUUGCUACUUCCAGUUGAAGAUUGGCCGGCUGGCAAUGAUGAUGAUAAUAAUAAUAACAAUAAUAAUAAUAAUAAUAAUAAUAAUAAUUAGAUUAUCAUUUUUCUUUUAGUCUAUUAUAUGUAUUUUUAUUCAUUUUUAUUUAAUAAAAAAUUAUGUUUGAUCUUUGACGUUUUAAUCCAUAUUUAAUUUUUAUUCUGUCUAUUAUGUUUUCGACAAACAUUUCGACGAUUCGUCGUAAAAAGAAAUAAUUUAAAAUCCAGUAGCAAUAGAAAGAUUUAUCUAUUGGGUUUGUGGCAGGGGUUGAUGUAUUGUUCAAAAAAGAUUACUUAUAUGUUGCAAUAGAUAAGAAGUCUGAUACAAUAGAUAAAUAGUCUAUUUCAACAGAUGACUAGUUUGUUGCUUAGUUCUGACGUUUUAAUUCAUACUCCCUCCGUCUCAAAUUAUCCAUCCCUAAUUGAGAUGCCACAUUGAUUAAGAAAAAUAAUUAAUAAUAUGUCUAGUUUACCAUAACCCACUGAUCAGUUGGUGGGACAAUAUACGUGUUUGAAAUAACCAUUUUUUUUAUUCAAUCCUAAUUUCAUAAGAGAAGAAAGCUUUUAAUGUCAGUUGGCAGAUAGUCCCCUUAUUAAAUGAUAUUUCUAUUUUAAUUUGAAGAAAAGGUGAUUAAUGCAAAGGAUAAAAUAUGGAUUUUUUUUAUCAUUUCUUGAUUAAUGAAAAAGACAAGUAAAAUGAGAAAUCGAAUUAGAAAAUUUGGGAUGGGUAAUUGGACGUAAGGAAUAAUAUUGAAUCUAGUAGAAAUAGAAAGAGUUGAAAUAUAUUGGUUAUCUGUUGGGUUUGUGGCAGGGGCUGAUUUGUUUUGUUCCAAACAGAUUAAUCAUUCGAUGCAAUAGAUAAACAUUCUGAUACAAUAGAUAAUACGUCUGAUGCAACAGAUAAACAAUCUGAUGCAACAGAUAAACAGUCUGAUGUAAUAGAUAAAUCUUCUGAUGCAACAGACUACUCAUCUGAUGCACCAGGUGAUUGAUCUAUUUAAAUUAUGGACACUUAUAUUGGAUUCAUGAUCGGGGUUCUAUCCAUUGUUGGAAAAACAAAAGUAUACCCAUAUGACAAAUACGAAUAAAAAUUAUAAUUUUACUUACCAAAGUCACCUAUGAAGUAAUGUCAAAGUGGAAAGUGAUGUUGUAAACAAAAUUUGACCUAAAAAAUUGGCCAGAUAGAAGCAAUAGCGUUAUGCCAACAAUAAUAACAACAACAAAUAGUCGACAAGAAAAAAAUAAAGACAAUAAUGAAGUAGAAGAUGUGAUAAUGAAGCAGAAUAUGAUGAAUAAAGCAGUAGAAACAAUGAACAACAAAAAUCAGUAAGAGAGAGAAAACAACAAGGGAUGAGACGAGAGAGAAGGCACCUUUUUCCCCUCCGUUUCUUGUUAUUUUAGGUAAAUAUUGGGAUCAAAGUGUAAAUUUAAAAACUUGUGAGUUAUUUUCAAACUUUUCCAACUUUUUUAAUCCAUAAUAAAGUAAUUAUCACCUCCAACUAAUAAUUAAGACUUGUGUCACCUACACCUCAUUUUAAAACUCUUUUGUCACCUGUGACCCAAAGCCCCUAGUGUCUUGGAAAAGAACGGGAGUGAGCAAAAGAUUUUUUUUGGAUCGAGUAAAAUGCCUAUUCUACCCUUGAUCAUCUUAUGGUCACUCUUAUAUAUAGUAGAAAUGAAUGUACUCUCGAUCACCCUAUAUGAAAAGAACCCCAAAAAGGCAAGGACAAAAAAAAAUAAAGAAAACAAUGAAUAAUGAUUGAGAAAAAAUUGAGAUAUGAACAAACCUUCAAUUGUAAUCUGCUGUAAAGAUAAAGAGAACAAAAAUAGUUCACUGACGGUGAGUAAAAUUGAAAAAACACUGUGAAACUUUGAGAUUAUGCCAGAGAGAUGGUGAUAUAGAUGUUUCUAGAUAUACGUAGUGUCUUGGAAAAGAAUGGGAGUGAGCAACAGAUUUUUUUUUGGACUGGGUAAAAUGUCUAUUCUACCCUUGGUCGUCCUAUGGUCACUCUUCUAUAUAGUAGAAUAUAGUAGAAACUAGACUAGAUAAUGAAGGGCCAUUUUACGGGCCCAAUAUUAAUAUUUUAGAUAUGUUUAUAGGUAUUUAAUUAGUUUUUUAAAUGACCAUCAAUAUUUUCAAAUUAGCACAAUCGAAAAUGAUAAUAAAGAUACACGUUAUAAUAAAGUGUCAAUUAUAUUAAUAUUUUUUUAAUAGAAUCAUACAAAAUAACCAAAAAAAUAAAAAAUAAUCCAUCUAUAAAUUUAUUUUAAAUGCACUGAAAUUCAUUUUGUUGGGGUUUAGUGAAUGAAAUUCAACCUAUUUGAUAGAAGUUAAAAUUAAUCAUAUCAUUCUUUACAAAGUGAUAAAAAAAAAGUUAUGGUUUGACAUCUUAUUUCAUAUACUAUAAAAUCAAGAUAAUAAUUUAGUAUAUAUAUUUUUUUUUUAAAAAAAAGUGAUUUGUAUACCUGAUGAGAGAAUAUACUGCUUCAAAAUAUUUUUUUUUUUUUGAAGAUUGUAAAUGUGUUGUAAAAAUAUAUAUGAAGUUAAGUGUACACAUUAUAACGUCUUAAUAUAAUAUGAACAAACGUACCAAUUAAAUAAAAUAAAUUAUAGUUUUAGAAUUAUCUUUAGUAUAUAUAGUUUUAAAAUUAAAUGAAUAUUUUUUCAUCAUUUAUCAGUAUCUUUUUUUAUUAUUUUAUUAUUAAUAUAGUACUCCAUCCAUUUUGAUCCAUUUAAAAGGAGAAUGUCUCUUUAUUUUUUAUAAUUUUUUAAUCAAUUCUGCAAAAUUAAAAAGCAUUUUGAUACAUUAUACAUAUCUUUAGCCUAUUAAUAUAACAUUCAACUUUUUUAAUUUGUUAAUUCAAUAUCUAAUCAAAAUCAGACAAAUAAAUAACACUUACUAAUUAAACUCUUUUCUCUAAGUAUGAACUAAACGUGUCAAUUAUUUCCAUAUCAGUUCAAUCCCAUUAUAAUUUAUUAUUUCAUUGCAAAGUAAUCUCAAGUCAUAGUUUAAAACGUUACUCAUCAAAAAUCUUAUUUUAUAUAAUGGACUAAAUUUUAAAUAAGAAAUUCAACUUUGGUAUGACAUAAUAUCUGUGAUGGUUUAUAAAUUAAUUUCAAUGAAUUUUAUAAGUUUGUUAUAAUUAUUAGAAGUUUAUGACAAUAUCCUUUGGCUAAAACAUAAUUUUUGAAGCUUUGAAUUUUUAAAAUACAUAUAUACAUAUUCAGAAGCACAAUUUUACAUCUACAUGUUUUGUAUUUUUUUCUUUAGAAAUGCACCAUUCUGUUAAUAUUCUAUCUAUUUCAGUUUGUUUGGUCUAUUUUAAUUUGGUACGAAAUUUAAAAGAGUAAAAUAUUUUGUUUGAAUAUUGUGAUAUUAAUUAAAUAAAAGAUAUGUCAAA